AGUCGAUUUGGCUCAGAUUGAACGCUGGCGUGGAUGCUUUACACAUGCAAGUCGAACGGCAGCACGGACUUCGGUCUGGUGGCGAGUGGCGAACGGGUGAGUAAUGUAUCGGAACGUGCCUAGUAGCGGGGGAUAACUACGCGAAAGCGUAGCCAAUACCGCAUACGCCCUUCGGGGGAAAGCGGGGACCUUCGGGCCUCGCACUAUUAGACAUUGAUAUCGGAUUAGCUAGUUGGUAAGUAACGGCUCACCAAGGCGACGAUCCGUAGCUGGUUUGAGAGGACGACCACACUCUGGGACUGAGACACGGCCCAGACUCCUACGGGAGGGCAGCAGUGGGGAAUUUUGGACAAUGGGGAAACCCUGAUCCAGCUAUCCCGCGUGUGCGAUGAAGGCCUUCGCUGUAAAGCACUUUUGUGAGAAAGAAGCGGUAAUGGGAUAAUACCCCGUGCAACUGACGGUACCUGCAGAAUAAGCACCGGCUAACUACGUGCCAGCAGCCGCGGUAAUACGUAGGGUGCAAGCGUUAAUCGGAAUUACUGGGCGUAAAGCGUGCGCAGGCGGUUCGGAAAGAAAGAUGUGAAAUCCCAGAGCUUAAUCCUUGGAACUGCAUUUUUAACUACACGAGUCAUGUCAGAGGGAGGUGGAAUUCAUGUAGUAUAUGAAUGCGUAGAUAUGCGGAGGAACACCGAUGGCGAAGGCAGCCUCCUGGGAUAAAUACACUGGACGCUCAUGCACGAAAGCGUGGGAGCAAACAGGAUGAUACCCUGGUAGUCCACGCCCUAAACGAUGUCAACUAGCUGUUGGGGCCUUCGGGCUCCUGGUAGCGCAGCUAACGCGUGAAGUUGACCGCCUGGGGAGUACGGUCGCAAGAUUAAAACUCAGCGAAUUGACGGGGACCUGUACAAGCGGAUGAUGUGGAUUAAUCUGAUGCAACGCGAAAAACCUUACUCACCCUUGACAUGUCUGGAAUCCCGAAGAGAUCUGGGAGUGCUCGCAAGAGAACCGGAACACAGGUGCUGCAUGGCUGUCGUCAUUCGUGUCGUGAGAUGUUGUUGUCCCGCAACGAGCGCAACCCUUGUCAUUAGUUGAAGGCUUAAAGGGCACUCUAUCGACUGCCGGUGACAAACCGGAGGAAGGUGGAUGACGUCAAGUCCUCAUGGCCCUUAUGUGGUAGGCUUCGCUAUCGUCAUACAAUGGUCGGGACAGAGGGUCGCCAACCCGAGGGGGAGCCAAUCCCAGAAACCCGAUCGUAGUCCGGAUCGCAGCUCCGUAACCGACUGCGUGAAGUCGGAAUCGCUAGUAAUCGCGGAUCAGCAUGUCGCGGUGAAUACGUUCCCGGGUCUUGUACACACUGCCCGUCACACCAUGGGAGUGGGUUUUACCAGAAGUAGUUAGCCUAACCGUAAGGAGGGCGAUUACCACGGUAGGAUCUGGCGAUCAGUGGUCGUAACAAGGUAGCCCUGUUAC
rnacentral:rRNA from 1 species